rnacentral:rRNA from 1 species
GAGUUUUGAUUCCGGGCUCAGGACGAACCGCGGGCGGCAUGCCUAAUACAUGCAAGUCGAACGCUGAAGCACUCUGCUUGCAGAGUGCGGAUGAGUGGCGAACGGGUGAGUAACACGUGGGAAAUCUGCCUAGGAGUGGGGGAUAACAUUCGGAAAACGGAUGCUAAUACCGCAUAUCUUUUUGAACCGCAUGGUUCUUAAACGAAAGACGGCUUCGGCUGUCGCUCUUAGAUGAUCCCGCGGCGUAUUAGUUAGUUGGUGGGGUAAAGGCCUACCAAGACCAUGAUACGUAGCCGACCUGAGAGGGUGAUCGGCCACACUGGGACUGAGACACGGCCCAGACUCCUACGGGAGGCAGCAGUAGGGAAUCUUCCACAAUGGGUGAAAACCUGAUGGAGCAAUGCCGCGUGAAUGAAGAAGGUCUUCGGAUCGUAAAGUUCUGUUAUUAGAGAAGAACAAGUCAAGGAGUAACUGUCUUGACUUUGACGGUACCUAACCAGAAAGUCACGGCUAACUACGUGCCAGCAGCCGCGGUAAUACGUAGGUGACAAGCGUUGUCCGGAAUUAUUGGGCGUAAAGGGAGCGCAGGCGGUUGGAAUAGUCUGAUGUGAAAGCCCACGGCUUAACCGUGGAAGGUCAUUGGAAACUGUCCAACUUGAAUACAGAAGAGGUAAGUGGAAUUCCAAGUGUAGCGGUGAAAUGCGUAGAUAUUUGGAGGAACACCAGUGGCGAAGGCGACUUACUGGUCUGUAAUUGACGCUGAGGCUCGAAAGCGUGGGUAGCAAACAGGAUUAGAUACCCUGGUAGUCCACGCCGUAAACGAUGAGUGCUAAGUGUUAGGGGGUNUCCGCCCCUUAGUGCUGGAG